rnacentral:rRNA from 1 species
UACGGAGGAUGCAGGCGUUAUCCGGAUUUAUUGGGUUUAAAGGGUGCGUAGGCGGACGUGUAAGUCAGGGGUGAAAUACCGGGGCUCAACCUCGGAACUGCCUUUGAUACUGCAUGUCUGGAGUUCGGAUGCCGUGGGAGGAAUGGGCAGUGUAGCGGUGAAAUGCAUAGAUAUUGCCCAGAACACCGAUUGCGAAGGUAUCUCACGAAUCCGACACUGACGCUGAGGCACGAAAGCGUGGGGAUCAAAC